rnacentral:rRNA from 1 species
AUACGGAGGGUCCGAGCGUUAAUCGGAAUUACUGGGCGUAAAGCGCGCGUAGGUGGUUCAGUCAGUCAGAUGUGAAAGCCGCGGGCUCAACCUGGGAACUGCACCUGAUACUGCUGAGCUAGAGUACGGUAGAGGGCAGUGGAAUUUCCGGUGUAGCGGUGAAAUGCGUAGAGAUCGGAAGGAACACCAGUGGCGAAGGCGACUGCCUGGACUUAUACUGACACUGAGGUGCGAAAGCGUGGGUAGCAAACAGGAUUAGAUCCCCUGGUAUUCCACGCCGUAAACGAUGUCAACUAGCCGUUGGGGGACUUGAUCCUUUAGUGGCGAAGCUAACGCGAUAAGUUGACCGCCUGGGGAGUACGGCCGCAAGGUUAAAACUCAAAUGAAUUGACGGGG